rnacentral:rRNA from 1 species
AGUGAACGCUGGCGGUAGGCCUAACACAUGCAAGUCGAACGGCAGCACAGUAAGAGCUUGCUCUUACGGGUGGCGAGUGGCGGACGGGUGAUGAAUACAUCGUAAUCUACUUUUUCGUGGGGGAUAACGUAGGGAAACUUACGCUAAUACCGCAUACGACCUACGGGUGAAAGCAGGGGAUCUUCGGACCUUGCGCGACUGAAUGAGCCGAUGUCGGAUUAGCUAGUUGGCGGGGGAAAGGCCCACCAAGGCGACGAUCGGUAGCUGGUCUGAGAGGAUGACCAGCCGCAUGGGGACUGAGACACGGGCCAUGCUCCUACGGGGGGCAGCAGUGGGGAAUAUUGGACCAUGGGCGCAAGCCUGCUCCAGCCAUGCCGCGUGGGUGGAGAAGGCCUUCGGGUUGUAAAGCCCUUUUGUUGGGAAAGAAAAGCAGCAGGUUGGUACCGGGCUGUUCUGACGGUACCCAAAGAAUAAGCACCGGCUCACUUCGUG